AACCAUGCAAGUCGAGCGGUAACAGAUCCAGCUUGCUGGAUGCUGACGAGCGGCGGACGGGUGAGUAAUGCAUAGGAAUCUGCCCGAUAGUGGGGGAUAACCUGGGGAAACCCAGGCUAAUACCGCAUACGUCCUACGGGAGAAAGGGGGCUCCGGCUCCCGCUAUGGGAUGAGCCUAUGUCGGAUUAGCUAGUUGGUGAGGUAACGGCUCACCAAGGCCACGAUCCGUAGCUGGUCUGAGAGGAUGAUCAGCCACAUCGGGACUGAGACACGGCCCGAACUCCUACGGGAGGCAGCAGUGGGGAAUAUUGGACAAUGGGGGAAACCCUGAUCCAGCCAUGCCGCGUGUGUGAAGAAGGCCCUCGGGUUGUAAAGCACUUUCAGCGAGGAAGAACGCCUAGCGGUUAAUACCCGCUAGGAAAGACAUCACUCGCAAAAGAAGCACCGGCUAACUCCGUGCCAGCAGCCGCGGUAAUACGGAGGGUGCAAGCGUUAAUCGGAAUUACUGGGCGUAAAGCGCGCGUAGGUGGCUUGAUAAGCCGGUUGUGAAAGCCCCGGGCUCAACCUGGGAACGGCAUCCGGAACUGUCAAGCUAGAGUGCAGGAGAGGAAGGUAGAAUUCCCGGUGUAGCGGUGAAAUGCGUAGAGAUCGGGAGGAAUACCAGUGGCGAAGGCGGCCUUCUGGACUGACACUGACACUGAGGUGCGAAAGCGUGGGUAGCAAACAGGAUUAGAUACCCUGGUAGUCCACGCCGUAAACGAUGUCGACCAGCCGUUGGGUGCCUAGCGCACUUUGUGGCG
rnacentral:rRNA from 1 species